UCUCUCUCUCUCUCUCUCUCUCUCUCUCUCUCUCUCUCUCUCUCUCUCUUCUUCAUCUCCGAUUCUCCAUGUUCAUAUAGUAUCAGAGCAUGGUUCUUCUUCUCAGAUGUAUUUUUUCUCUUCUUGGUUCUUCCGGUUCAGCCUUAUUGAGUUCUCGGUGGUAAUUUCUAGAUUUUUCGAUUUGUUGGGGGUGAUUCUGGAUUUUUUUGAGAAUCGGAGAUGAUUUCAGUUUCUUGUGGAUUGAUGUUGCUUCUUCAAGCGUGGUGUUUAGGGUGAACUUCCGACACCUCUCGUGCUUGAUUCCACCGGUUUCUCUGAAAGCUAGGGUUUUCUCUGAACGAAGCUAGGGUUUUCUCUGCAAGCUAGGGUUUUCUCUGAACCUUUGAAGGCCGUUUCUGCUCCGGUAGCGUAGAAGUCGGGUAACCCUAUUUCACUCUCGAUUAGAGCUUGCAUGUGUUUUUGUUGCUGGAAUAUUUGUUGUAUCAUGUAGUUCAUAGAUAUUGAAUCAAUUUUCUCUCAUCAUUGUUGUUCUAUUUCUGAUGACAAAUAUGAACCCUACUAAUCCCUCACCUAUUGACCCUACAAGUCCUCUCUUUGUUUACUUUUCUGAUGUUCCUGGUAUUUUCCUUGUUCCUAUUCCCUUCUCGGGUAGUGGUUUUGGGGGUUGGAAGAGGAAGAUGAUAGCUGCCUUGUCCGCUAAGAACAAAAUUGAUUUUGUUGAUGGUACCUGUCCUAGACCAAAUACUAAGUUGGCUAAACAGAAAUUAUGGGACAGAUGCAAUAAUAUGGUAAUUUCCUGGUUGACUGCAUCUUUGUCUCCUCAAAUAGCUGAGAAUGUACAAUAUUCUGAGACUGCACAGAGUAUAUAGGCACAACUCGAAGCCAGAUAUGGCACAGCCAAUAGGACCAAAAUUUUUGAACUUAAAAGAGAACUCUCUCACUCUUCUCAAGGACCUCUAGAUAUAGCAUCAUAUUUUAACAAACUCAAAGGGUUGUGGGAUGAGCUAGGAGCAGUAUGUACAAAUCAUGGCCAAAGAUGUAUUUGUCCUGCCAGUUCAUUCUUCUCAAGGACCUCUAGAUAUAGCAUCCAAUUUUAACAAACUCAAAGGAUUAUGGGAUGAGUUAGGAGCAGUAUGCACAAAUCAUGGCCAAAGAUGUAUUUGUGCUGCCAAACCUGG
rnacentral:lncRNA from 1 species